rnacentral:rRNA from 1 species
UACAGAGGUCUCAAGCGUUGUUCGGAUUCAUUGGGCGUAAAGGGUGCGUAGGCGGCGCCAUAAGUCAGGUGUGAAAUCUCGGGGCUCAACCCCGAAACUGCACUUGAUACUGUGGUGCUGGAGUACUGGAGAGGAGAUUGGAAUUUACGGUGUAGCAGUGAAAUGCGUAGAUAUCGUAAGGAAGACCAGUGGCGAAGGCGAAUCUCUGGACAGUUACUGACACUGAGGCACGAAGGCCAGGGGAGCAAACGGG